CUACGGGUCGCUGCAGUGAGGAAUCUUGGACAAUGGGCGAAAGCCUGAUCCAGCGACGCCGCGUGGGUGACGAAGGCCUUCGGGUUGUAAAGCCCUGUCAGAGGGGAAGAAGUUCUGACGGUACCCUCAGAGGAAGCACAGGCUAACUCCGUGCCAGCAGCCGCGGUAAUACGGAGUGUGCAAGCGUUGCUCGGAAUCACUGGGCGUAAAGGGCGCGUAGGCGGCUUGGUAAGUUGGAUGUGAAAGCCCUCGGCUCAACCGAGGAACUGCAUCCAAAACUGCCUGGCUAGAGUACGGAAGAGGAAGGCGGAAUUCCCAGUGUAGGGGUGAAAUCCGUAGAUAUUGGGAAGAACACCAGUGGCGAAGGCGGCCUUCUGGGACGAUACUGACGCUGAGGCGCGAAAGCGUGGGGAGCAAACAGGAUUAGAUACCCGUGUAGUC
rnacentral:rRNA from 1 species